rnacentral:rRNA from 1 species
GAGUUUGAUCAUGGCUCAGGACGAACGCUGGCGGCGUGCUUAACACAUGCAAGUCGAACGGAAAGGCCCCCACUUUUUUGGUGGGGGUGCUCGAGUGGCGAACGGGUGAGUAACACGUGGGUGAUCUGCCCUGUACUUCGGGAUAAGCUUGGGAAACUGGGUCUAAUACCGGAUAGGACCAUGGUUUAGUGUCUCAUGGUGGAAAAAUAUUGUUUUGGUGCAGGAUGAGCUCGCGGCCUAUCAGCUUGUUGGUGGGGUAAUGGCCUACCAAGGCGUCGACGGGUAGCCGGCCUGAGAGGGUGGACGGCCACAUUGGGACUGAGAUACGGCCCAGACUCCUACGGGAGGCAGCAGUGGGGAAUAUUGCACAAUGGGCGCAAGCCUGAUGCAGCGACGCCGCGUGGGGGAUGACGGCCUUCGGGUUGUAAACUCCUUUCGUUAGGGACGAAGCCGCACCUUUUUUUGGGUGUGGUGACGGUACCUUUGUUAAGAAGCACCGGCUAACUACGUGCCAGCAGCCGCGGUAAUACGUAGGGUGCGAGCGUUGUCCGGAAUUACUGGGCGUAAAGAGCUCGUAGGUGGUUUGUUGCGUCGUCUGUGAAAUUCCGGGGCUUAACUUCGGGGUGGCAGGCGAUACGGGCAUAACUAGAGUGCUGUAGGGGAGACUGGAAUUCCUGGUGUAGCGGUGGAAUGCGCAGAUAUCAGGAGGAACACCGAUGGCGAAGGCAGGUCUCUGGGCAGUAACUGACGCUGAGGAGCGAAAGCAUGGGGUGCGAACAGGAUUAGAUACCCUGGUAGUCCAUGCUGUAAACGGUGGGCGUUAGGUGUGGGGACCGGUUUGGUUUCUGUGCCGUAGCUAACGCAUUAAGCGCCCCGCCUGGGGAGUACGGCCGCAAGGCUAAAACUCAAAGGAAUUGACGGGGGCCCGCACAAGCGGCGGAGCAUGUGGAUUAAUUCGAUGCAACGCGAAGAACCUUACCUGGGUUUGACAUGCACCAGACGGUUGUAGAGAUACGUACCUCCCUUUGUGGUUGGUGUGCAGGUGGUGCAUGGUUGUCGUCAGCUCGUGUCGUGAGAUGUUGGGUUAAGUCCCGCAACGAGCGCAACCCUUGUCUUAUGUCGCCAGCACUUUGGGUGGGGACUCAUGAGAGACUGCCGGGGUUAACUCGGAGGAAGGUGGGGAUGACGUCAAAUCAUCAUGCCCUUUAUGCCCAGGGCUUCACACAUGCUACAAUGGUUAGUACAACGCGCGGCAAAACCUGUGAGGGUGAGCGAAUCGCUGAAAGCUAAUCUCAGUUCGGAUUGGGGUCUGCAACUCGACCCCAUGAAAGUCGGAGUCGCUAGUAAUCGCAGAAUCAGCAAUGCUGCGGUGAAAUACGUUCCCGGGCCUUGCACACACCGCCCGUC